GCGCAGCUGUGCCCCCGCGCCUCUGCCUCACCGAGCGCCCGACCCGGCCGUCGUUCGUCGCCAACACCCGCGGAUCCGGCCGCCCCUCACCCUCACUAUGGGUUGCACCUCCCAGCGCCGCCGCCCCUGCCAAGCUCCGCCGCUGGAGGAUGAAAUUCUGUCAAUGUCCACUGUCUUCAAGUAAUAUUUUUUUUAGUAUCCAAGGAAAAUUCUUGAGAUGACGGAAAUGAAUUGUACUCUCAAGAAAAGGUGGAAUACGAAUUGGAUGGAAAGCUAGAGCUACAGCAGGCAGAGCAUAGUGGAGGGUCCGCUUCUACCUCACAUGACCUCUCCACCGCAUCAUAUAUGUUUUGCGGCUCCGUGGCUCCAUUAAUUGCAGUAAGGUGCUUGUGCCAUCCAUGUCUGAUUUGUGCAGCCAUCAUCUGUAGCAUUGGCUGGAGCCGUCAUCCGAAACAGUUUCACUGAUUCUCAGGCAAGCAACGUGAUUUUUCCAUGUGUUGAUUCAAUCUGGAAAAGUCAAGAUCACAAAUGCUCUUAGGAUUGAUUAAUGAAUUGAAUUACAGGAGUAUUGGCCGUCCAGACAUUUUUAGGGACCUUCUAGAAUUAAGAUUUGACACGAAACAAAUUGUUUUCUACGUUAUACUGUCAUUGCUAACGUUGUUGAUCUCGAGCUGCAUCCUCCAUAAUAGUGACUUCAAAUCUGAGGCUGGCUAGAAGAACAUAUCUCUA